UACGGAGGGUGCGAGCGUUGUCCGGAAUCACUGGGCGUAAAGGGCUCGUAGGUGGCCAACUAAGUCAGACGUGAAAUCCCUCGGCUUAACCGGGGAACUGCGUCUGAUACUGGAUGGCUUGAGUUCGGGAGAGGGAUGCGGAAUUCCAGGUGUAGCGGUGAAAUGCGUAGAUAUCUGGAGGAACACCGGUGGCGAAGGCGGCAUCCUGGACCGGCAUUGACGCUGAGGCGCGAAAGCCAGGGGAGCAAACGGG
rnacentral:rRNA from 1 species